rnacentral:rRNA from 1 species
UUUUAUGAGAGUUUGAUCCUGGCUCAGGACGAACGCUGGCGGCGUGCCUAAUACAUGCAAGUCGAACGCUUCUUUUUCCACCGGAGCUUGCUCCACCGGAAAAAGAGGAGUGGCGAACGGGUGAGUAACACGUGGGUAACCUGCCCAUCAGAAGGGGAUAACACUUGGAAACAGGUGCUAAUACCGUAUAACAAUCGAAACCGCAUGGUUUUGAUUUGAAAGGCGCUUUCGGGUGUCGCUGAUGGAUGGACCCGCGGUGCAUUAGCUAGUUGGUGAGGUAACGGCUCACCAAGGCCACGAUGCGUAGCCGACCUGAGAGGGUGAUCGGCCACAUUGGGACUGAGACACGGCCCAAACUCCUACGGGAGGCAGCAGUAGGGAAUCUUCGGCAAUGGACGAAAGUCUGACCGAGCAACGCCGCGUGAGUGAAGAAGGUUUUCGGAUCGUAAAACUCUGUUGUUAGAGAAGAACAAGGAUGAGAGUAACUGUUCAUCCCUUGACGGUAUCUAACCAGAAAGCCACGGCUAACUACGUGCCAGCAGCCGCGGUAAUACGUAGGUGGCAAGCGUUGUCCGGAUUUAUUGGGCGUAAAGCGAGCGCAGGCGGUUUCUUAAGUCUGAUGUG